CAAACCGCCUAAAUAUUCUUUUAUUAAUUAAAGAAUUACCUCAUUUGUGCAAACCUAGCUUAGCAAAGUAGAGUGCGCGAGAGUGAGUUUUCUCCUCCGGCGAUGCCUCUUCAGAGUUCACAACUUCCAUAGAUGCGAUCUGCGUUCUCACUUCUAGAUUUUUAGAUCUGUUGCGGCAUGGAAGCCCGACGCAGAGGUUUUAGAUCGAAUGCUCCAGAUGAAAGAGUGAUUAGUGUUGCUGCGUAUGAGAAAGUGUGAGUGAUGUGAAUGAUGAACCCUAAUCUUUUGUCGCCCUUCAUCUUCCGCAGCUAUCGUUCAUCUCGUCGUUGUUUCUCAUCCCCUCACGCCACCAAAUUAGUUCUUCCAACAUUUUUGACGGCCUCUUUGAUUGGGAAUUCAUCGAGAAAUGUAAAUCGUUGAUUAAACAAUCAAGGAAUCGGAUCAAUGUGAUAAGGAGAAAGAGAAAUUCAGCAAAGAAGUUUCUUAAGCGAGACAGCAUUGAUCUGCUUGCGAAUCAUUUCCAGCGAAAGAGAGAAAAUCCUAAUGAACCAGGUUCACCAUCCCUUAUUCAGAGCUGGACAAGUCUCUGCUGGUGAUCCAUGGGAGUGGUAUGAGUGGACCAAUUGCUUCUGGAAUUUCAUUUCUGAAAAACCUUACUGACUUGAGAAUCAGCGACUUGAAAGGACCAGAUUCUUAUUUUCCACCACUUAGUAACUUGACAAACUUGCAAACAUUAGUACUGAGAAGUUGCAAUCUUAUAGGAUCGAUUCCAGAAUAUUUUGGAAAUGUAACUACUUUAAACUCAUUGUAAGUGAUGCUUUAUUCUUUUCAAUUUUUUUUUGUUGGCAAUAUGCUUCUAACUUGGAAGUUUCAUGCACUGAAUGUAUUUUUUUGACAAAUUUUUGCUGUUUAACUUUGAUAAAAAAAAUAUAAUAACGUUCAGAAGAAUGACAUGAGGUUUGGGGACAAGUGAUCUUCACAAAAGCAAAAACAGAUAAAUUAAAAGCAUAUUUUUUAAUUAAUUUUGCCUUUUUUAAUUAAAAGCAAAAAUAGAUAAUAUGUAUGAAGGCUAUGCUAUAGACUGGAGUCUUCUUGUUCCUGGAGCCGGAAGGCUUGUAUCUGGUAAUAUUUGGUUAUUUCUUUUUCUCUAUAUUUAGCUACAUUUUAUAAACAUGGAAUAUUGACAAUACUCCAUUUAUUGGGCAUACUGCUAGUGUUGAAGAUCUGCAAGUUAUAUUGGGGUUUAUGAGACCUCUUAACUAUCAAAUAGCAUAUAGUUUAUAGAUGAUGAUUGAGCAUAUAUGUGAAUGCUUUUUUGGAUCUAUAUAGUCUUUUUGUAAUUAUAUACUGCUUUGUAUAAUUUUUUCAAGAAUUCCAUCAGAGCAAAAUCUUCCAAGUAAAAUGAAGGUAUUUAACUAUUUAUAUUUGUAAUUAUAUACUUCUGUAAUUGGUAUUUUGUGGGAAGUAUGAAGGGUUAUCGGAUUAUUUCCAAGACCCUUUAUUAACUUAGCUUUCUAUUUUCUGCCAUUGACUUGAGUUGUCAAUUCUUCAUAUUAAAUUGGCAUGUGUGAUGAGUGUGAAUGCUAAUUCAUAUUAAAAUCCACACACAUAUGACAUUAUAUUGGGAAUAUUGGGGAUUUAUCAAGCUUCAAGUAACCUUUGCUCCAAGCUAUUCUUCUUCUUUCACACAAAUCCAUCUCUUUUAAGACAGAAUUCAAUUCAAGAAUGGCAGUUACACAUGUUGAUCUCGAACCAAACACAGGGAAGACAUGUUUGAUGAGCAGCAAAACUGGUGUAUUCCUCGUACUUGUCACAAUCCUAUUGGGACUCUCCUCCUUCACUCUCUACCUCAUAGCAGAAGCCACACGUUCUCAGGAUCAUGGGAUUGGAUUCAUCACUCAUUUAUGGUGGACUUUAGUACCUUGCGGCCAGUUCUACUACUACUACUUUCUGCACUGUCAAAAAAUAUUAAAGAAUAAAAUUCUUGUGCAGGGGAGGAAGUAUUGAUUAGAACUCGUUUUCUAGAGAUGAAUGCUCCUAGGGACAGUUCAUCUGUCAACAAGAGGUUUGUGCUAUGAAGUUUAAUGUCCUUGUGACUACUUAUGAGUUCAUCAUGUAUGAUCGAUCAAAGCUUUCAAAAUUCGAUUGGAAAUAUAUCAUAAUUGAUGAAGCACAGAGAAUGAAGGAUAGGGAUUCAGUCCUGGCCCGUGAUCUUGAUAGGAAAACUCCCAAUGUAAUAGAACUAACAAUAUUUCUUAGUUUGAUACUUUGUAUAGGAGUUAUUAUUUUUUAUUUGUAAUACUAAAAUAUCAUAUAUUAUGUUUAAUACUGAGUUAUAUAAUAUUUUGUCUAUGGAUUAUGAUUUUGUUA